rnacentral:rRNA from 1 species
GCCUAAUACAUGCAAGUCGAGCGCGGGAAGCGAGCGGAUCCCUUCGGGGUGAAGCUCGUGGAACGAGCGGCGGACGGGUGAGUAACACGUGGGCAACCUGCCUGUAAGAUCGGAAUAACCCCGGGAAACCGGGGCUAAUGCCGGGUAAUACUUUUCUUCGCAUGAAGAUGAGUUGAAAGAUGGCUUCUCGCUAUCACUUACAGAUGGGCCCGCGGCGCAUUAGCUAGUUGGUGAGGUAACGGCUCACCAAGGCAACGAUGCGUAGCCGACCUGAGAGGGUGAUCGGCCACACUGGGACUGAGACACGGCCCAGACUCCUACGGGAGGCAGCAGUAGGGAAUCUUCCGCAAUGGACGAAAGUCUGACGGAGCAACGCCGCGUGAACGAUGAAGGUCUUCGGAUCGUAAAGUUCUGUUGUCAGGGAAGAACAAGUACCGUGCGAAUAGAGCGGUACCUUGACGGUACCUGACGAGGAAGCCCCGGCUAACUACGUGCCAGCAGCCGCGGUAAUACGUAGGGGGCAAGCGUUGUCCGGAAUUAUUGGGCGUAAAGCGCGCGCAGGCGGUUCCUUAAGUCUGAUGUGAAAGCCCACGGCUCAACCGUGGAGGGUCAUUGGAAACUGGGGAACUUGAGGACAGAAGAGGAGAGUGGAAUUCCACGUGUAGCGGUGAAAUGCGUAGAUAUGUGGAGGAACACCAGUGGCGAAGGCGACUCUCUGGUCUGUUUCUGACGCUGAGGUGCGAAAGCGUGGGUAGCAAACAGGAUUAGAUACCCUGGUAGUCCACGCCGUAAACGAUGAG